GGAUUGAUCUGAUGAUAAAGUCUGUUGCAACUGCGAAACAGGCGGAUGGAGAUGAAGUGCCAUAUUCUGAGGAGAACAAAGAUAGCGAGGAUGGUGUUUGGUGAACUCGACGCAGAGAAGACGAUUUGGAGAUGACACUGGGGGAGCAUGAGAAACUGAAGAGAAGAGAAAAGCCUUUAUCACACUGAAGAAUGAGGGGAGACAGGGUUCAUACAAGGACACAAGAAGAGGGGGGGAAAAACUGCUGAUCAGGAUCGAUGGAGCAAUAAGGAGUCCCGUCUGCGGUCAGGUAUCCGAUCAAACACCUGGCGAGCAUCCCCCACGGGAGAGCAUCUCCGGCAGCUUAUUCUUGGUCCUGAAGUCGGCAUGGGAAAGUGUCACUUGACAGAUCUUUUACUUCAUCCACCCAACAGAUCAAGCCAUGUGGAAAUGAGUUGAAGCACCCAAAUCUCUGCUAUUGCUCUGUUGGCCAAAGAGAAGCAAAUAGCAAGGAAUUCAUUCUUCGAGCGGCGGAGACACGAAUCUGCUGCUUUCGCAACAUUUCAGGUAUAUCUCGCUUUGAGAAAGCACCUGUGAGGAUUCGGCAGUGCACCACCAUAUCAUCGAUUAGAUUUAGAUUCUUUGUACGCACACGAGGCUGAGGGCGAAGCACACUGCCGCUAUUGGCUAUCCACUCAUGACUAGAUAUCGAUGGAACAAUCCGCACCAAAAAGAUAUGAUGUGCUACCAUCAGAAGGCACAAGGAAAACACAAGUGAAGGAUUGGAAACAGAGGGGUCCCCCUGUCCUCUCCAUGUUUCUUUCUUUAAUGCAGUGGGACACAACCGGGCAUCCCUCUCUGCCAACAUCUCUCUUCCAAGCUUAGCAUGACAGGUGUGAUGGGUAAAGCAGCAAAGUCACCAACACGUCUCCAAAGGCUACAGGCUUUGAGCUGCUUUGUCUACUUUUAUCUUCUUCCCCCUCCGGCUUUCUUUUUUUUCCCUUUUUACUGUGAGAAGUUGGGAGGUAAGCAUAGUAUGCAGCUCUGCUUGUCGUAACAAUUGAAGCAUCAUUUCAGCAGAGGAAUGAAAGCAAGCACAGAUGACAUGAGGUAGUA